UACAGAGGGUGCUAGCGUUGUUCGGAAUCAUUGGGCGUAAAGGGCGUGUAGGCGGUUUGUUAAGUCAUGUGUGAAAUCCCUCGGCUCAACCGGGGAACGACGCAUGAAACUGGCAAGCUAGAGUACCAAAGAGGGGGGUGGAAUUCCUGGUGUAGCGGUGAAAUGCGCAGAUAUCAGGAAGAACACCCGUGGCGAAGGCGGCUCUCUGGGACGUGACUGACGCUGAGACGCGAAAGCGUGGGGAGCAAACAGG
rnacentral:rRNA from 1 species